rfam:Trichobilharzia regenti genome assembly, scaffold: TRE_scaffold0007193
AUCUAGGUGACGAGUCCCAAGUAGAACGAAAUCUGCAUCCUAGAU